CUGCCUGCAAAACCUCCCCCUCAGUCUCCAUCUACAGAGUUAAACCUGCCAUCAAAACCUCCAUUCCCAUCUGCAGAUUUUAAACCUACCUGUAAAACUUCCCCCUCAGUCUCCAUCUGCAGAGUUAAACCUGCCAUCAAAACCUCCAUCUCCAUCUGCAGAUCUAAAACCUGCCUGUAAAACUUCCCCCUCAGUCUCCAUCUGCAGAGUUAAAACUGCCAUCAAAACCUCCAUCUCCAUCUGCAGAUCUAAAACCUGCCUGUAAAACUUCCCUCUCAGUCUCCAUCUGCAGAGUUAAUACUGCCAUCAAAACCUCCAUCCCCAUCUGCAGAUCUAAAACCUACCUGUAAAACUUCCCCCUCAGUCUCCAUCUGCAGAGUUAAAACUGCCAUCAAAACCUCCAUCCCCAUCUGCAGAUCUAAAGCCUGCGUGUAAAACUUCCCCCUCAGUCUCCAUCUCCAGAGUUAAAACUGCCAUCAAAACCUCCAUCCCCAUCUGCAGAUCUAAAGCCUGCCUGUAAAACUUCCCCCCUAGUCUCCAUCUGCAGAGUUAAACCUGCCAUCAAAACCUCCAUCUCCAUCUGCAGAUCUACUGUAAAGCAUGCGUGUAAAACUUCCCCCUCAGUCUCCAUCUGCACAGUUUAAACUGCCAUCAAAACCUCCAUCUUCAUCUGCAGAUCUAAAGCCUGCCUGUAAAACUUCCCCCUCAGUCUCCAUCUGCAGAGUUAAACCUGCCAUCAAAACCUCCAUUCCCAUCUGCAGAUCUAAAACCUGCCUUUAAAACUUCCCCCUCAUUCUCCAUGGGCAGAGUUUAAACUGCCAUCAAAACCUCCAUCUCCAUCUGCAGAAUUAAAACCUCCCUGUAAAACUUCCCCCUCAGUCUCCAUCUGCAGAGUUAAAACUGCCAUCAAAACCUCCAUCCCCAUCUGCAGAUUUAAAACCUGCCUGUAAAACCUCCUCCUCAGUCUCCAUCUGCAGCUUUUAAAACUCCUGGCAAAACCUCCUCCUCAGUCUCCAUCUGCAGUGGAUAAACCUGCGUAAAGCAAGGCCAACAGCCUCCGCCAUUCCUUCCGUCCUGCUCUGCUCUGUUAUGAGCUUCGUAGAGCUCGAGGAGAGUAUCUGCGAGAGAAUUGAGAUCAAGUGUUAUUAAAAAGGGACGUAAAGGACCUGCAAACCAAACUAAAAGUCAUUCAUCCUUUGAAUGGUGUUUGGAAAGUGCCCUGUUGCUCAUCAAUCAACUAGCUGUUUCCACCAUCAAAAAGGGUUGGGGAACGAGUGGCUGAGAUCUCAGGAGAGCUGUGCUUAAGUAAAAUGGCGGCAUAUACGUAGUUCAUAUCAAAUCCACUCAGGUAAGUACAAGCCAAUAAUUGAAAAUUAAACAAAGUAAGGUUUAAACAUUAACAAUUGUCUUGUAUUUUACGAGGAAACAAACUGGACAAGGAGACCUUGACGAACCUGUAGAGCUAGCUGGACAGGAGCUACAGCGACGUCCAGAAAUCCAUCAACCAAAAGGUAACCAGCCUGGAUGCCUAUCUCGCCUUGUUAGAAGUCCUACAUAAAGAGGUUCAAGCCCUGAGAGAGUCGGAGGAAUACAGCCAAGGGCAUCUAGUCUCUAUUACCGCCACGAACAAAGCGCUGAGGGGGGAAGUCAUGAAGCUCACCGAGGGGAUGAUCCAGCUGCAUUCCGGAGCAGCAGGAGGAGGAUCCUGAGGUGACAAUCCCAGAGUUCCUCCAGAAGAAGCUGGAAAUCCUGGCGGAUCAGAUAUGAAAUCAUUCCCCCAUAUCCAUAG